AACCUAGGUUUUCACACUGAGAUACAACUGUAGCUCAUUUGUUUUUUAUUUUUCAUUUUUUUAGGCAGGAUCUUGCUAAGUUGCCCAGGCUGGGUUCAAACUUGCAAUCCUCCGAGUUAGUGUCCCACAAAGCUGGGAUACAAGUGUGUGCCACCACGCUUGGCUGAUAAUGGUCUCUUAACUGAAGAAGCUGGAGACAGGCUAGUGUUAGGUGAGUCUGGACCUACCUGCUGGACAGUGUUACUCGAAGCUGAAUCUUCAAGGAAGUUCAGUGCCUGAUCGAUCCAUGGAGAACACAUCACAGUGCUGCCAGCUGGAGACUUUGAGCAUGCUGAAUGUCUGCAUCAGGAGCCCAGACCUGGAGAAGGAGUUGGUUCCACCUUUCAAGAAGCUGAUGCGCAGUCCUGUAACAGUGAUGUCUUGGAGACUGCUCUACAGCCAUUAAACAAGGAUGAGGCUAGAACAACUUGGAGCCAAUUAAAGGAAUUGACUCAGAAUACCCAGGAGAUGGUAACCAGGAAUCAAAGAUCUGAGUAGGUGAUAAAGUAUAUAGAGAUAACUGAGCUGAAAUUUACCAGGAUUCUUAAAAUGAAAUAUAAAAAUACAUAUCAACUAUAGAUAAAAUAUUUUGUUCCUUCCAAAUUCUUCACGUGAAAGAUCUCUCAAAACUGAUGAAUAACAAAUUCUGACUAGUCUUUUUGUAGUUAUAAAUUUGUAAAAUUGUAAAGGAGUUACUAUAAUUCAAUUUGGUUAAAAAUAUGUCUGAGUGCACUCUGAUUUUGUAAGAUGUUUGUCCAAUCUAUUAAGAUGCGUACUUGUUUCUUUGUCAGAUCCAUGACCAACUGUUCUUUUUUAUUUGAGCUCAGCAAUUUUUCUCUUUCCCUUUUUGUUUGCAUUUUUGGAUCAUUUGUUCAAAAUACAAUCUAGGUUAUAGACUUAAAAGCAUGCUUCCACCUGGUUACCAGUGGGUCAAAAUGGUAUCAAAUUUGGUUUUCUCAUAGGUUAUCAAAAAUUGUUAAGACAAUUGAACAAAAAUUAGGGUAGGGAGAGGUUAUUGGACAGCACUCCAAUUGAUUAAUAAGAAAGCAGCUGCCUGGAAUAAUAUUAACCAGUUCUUGUUCAUUAAUAAGGAGCCUCCAGUGAUCUCCAUAGUGUU
rnacentral:lncRNA from 1 species